GCCACUUGUCCUCCCUCUCUGCUCCCACUGCACCCCUGUUCAUUAACAGCUCCUGAAUUUCUCUUACAAGGAAGACCCUCCAAACACCAUACUAGUAGGGGGUGCAGUCAUUGGAGUCCACAAUUCACUGUGUACACUGGAGCCAGUCACGGAACCUCCUGGGCCCCUACUUCCUCAUUUGUAAAAUGGGAUGACCAUAGUACCUGCCACCCUGGGCUGUAAGGGUGAAAUGAGUUCUGACCCUGGGAAUGGGAAGGGGGCCUGGUGCAUAGCAAAUGCCAGGAAUAAUAGUAUCAGCUACUAUUCCUGAGAUCUGGGCUCAGGAAAGGGAAUGGGAAAGAGGGAUGCAGAGAGGAGAAAAGGAGAUAGAAACAUUCCAAGAGGGAGAAAAGGAGUAUAGAGGGCAGAGGGAAUAUGGGUGCUGGCCUUGAUCUCUCAGGGCUGGCAGCAGGGCUCACCUUCUUGUUCUUCCUUCCCCCAUAUAAUCUCCCCAGAAUUCUGAGGAAUUCUGCUUCCACCCCCACUGGUUGCCAUGGUGAUGAAAAAUCUGGACCCAGUGGAAAGUUCUCUCUGCUCUUGGCAACGAGGCUGCAGCACCCUGCCUCCUGCCUGCCCGCCUGUGCGUGGGCGGCUCUCUGCAGCUGCUGCCAGGAUUCAGGGCCAGCUCUGCUCUCUGCAGAGGCCCAGCCCUGCCCCCCACAAGAUCUAGGGUGGGAGCCCUGGUGCCAGGAACCCUCAGCGAAUAUCUAACCUGUCACAUUUUAUAAGGGGGAACCUGGGCCGGAGAGGACCCCUGACUUGCCCAAGACUGCAGAGGCUCUUGACUGCCCUGGAGUCUCUCCUGGACUGAGCCUUGAGGCCCAGGCUCCCAGCAGGAGGCCAAGGGCCCCCUAUGUCAAACUCCACCAAGAACGCCCCACUCCUUUUGGAUUAUUUUUCUGUCAUCAGCUCCACAUACUAUGGUGUGAAUGUCUGUGUCCUUCUAAAAUUGAUAUGUUCAAAUCUAAUCACCAAGUGAUGGUAUUGGGAAGGCAUCACCCCACGUCAUGAGGGUAAGACCUUGUGAUGGGGUUAGUGCCCUUGUCAAAUGACCCCACAGAGACCUUGCCCCUUCUAACCUGUGAGGACACCCAUGGGAAGGUGCCGCCUGAGAACCAGAAAGCAAGCCCUCGCCAGACACCAUAUCUGCCAGCACCUUGAUCUUGGACUUCUCGGUCUCUAAACUAUGAGAAAUAAACUUCCCUGGGUUAUUAGCUG